AACGAACGCUGGCGGCAGGCUUAACACAUGCAAGUCGAACGCCCCGCAAGGGGAGCGGCAGACGGGUGAGUAACGCGUGGGAAUCUACCCAUCUCUACGGAAUAACGCAUGGAAACGUGUGCUAAUACCGUAUACGUCCUUCGGGAGAAAGAUUUAUCGGAGAUGGAUGAGCCCGCGUUGGAUUAGCUAGUUGGUGGGGUAAAGGCCGACCAAGGCGACGAUCCAUAGCUGGUCUGAGAGGAUGAUCAGCCACACUGGGACUGAGACACGGCCCAGACUCCUACGGGAGGCAGCAGUGGGGAGUAUUGGACAAUGGGCGCAAGCCUGAUCCAGCCAUGCCGCGUGAGUGAUGAAGGCCCUAGGGUUGUAAAGCUCUUUCACCGGUGAAGAUAAUGACGGUAACCGGAGAAGAAGCCCCGGCUAACUUCGUGCCAGCAGCCGCAGUAAAAC
rnacentral:rRNA from 1 species